rfam:Glossina pallidipes unplaced genomic scaffold Scaffold2, whole genome shotgun sequence.
GUUGGCUACGGGGACAUCUACCCCACUACUGCACUGGGAAAAGUUAUUGGUACUGUGUGUUGCAUAUGCGGUGUUCUGGUAAUCGCUUUGCCUAUUCCCAUCAUCGUCAAUAAU